AUGCCCGGGCCAGGCAGUGCCCUGACUGAAGCUUGCCUGAUCAGGAAGGCGAGCAAAGAAAUCACUGAGUCACAAAUUUGUGAAGGAGACGAACAGGCACCACUCCCCCAGCAUCUCUUCACUUGCUCCUCACUACAGCCAGAGCCCAUCACCAGCAUGUCUUCCCCUCCUGCUUCUGUGCGGCCACCCAGGAUAGCAUUUGACACCUCCCUGAGGUCCCCACCUGCCGCUGGUGGCUGUCUCCACCCAACCGUCCUCCCCGGAGAGGAGGGGGCGCGCUGCUGUUCUCUGGAGAGUCGCACAGCUUGUGUCUACCAGCGCACGGGCUCGGCGUCACGGAGGCAGGUCGGACCCAUCCUGUCCCACAGCCAGCAUCAGCGCCUCCAGCUUGGACACACCUGCGUCUUGCGCCCAGGGCCCUCUGUCCUCGCCCGGCGGAGCACGUGCAUGCGCUCGACGACGCGCCAGCCCCUGGAACCCUCUCCAAGGGCUCCCAUCAGCCCCCACACGGCUUGCUCUGGCUCCCUUGCUGGCUGUGGGGUGUCCCGCCAGGUGGGUGGGGCUUCUCUGUCACCGGUCCCCUGGGAUGUGGGCGGAAGGGGAGGACGUGGUCUGGGUCGGUGCACACCUGCUGGGACCCCCCUGCACGCGCCUCCCCUGCUAGGCGGCCACCUGGAAGCGCACACAAGGGGCGUCACGGCCACAUUUUUAAAAUUCAUUUUCCAAAUUCAGUGACCGGGCAGGAACCUGGACCCCCUCCCUCCCCCCGCAAGUGGUUUCCCGGUUCCUUCUGGGGUGUCUAAACGGGGCUCACGGAAGCCUCAAGCCAAGCCUGGAGAAUGUGGAGUCUUCCCUGUUCUUCUUUUCCCUGCUUUGCUCUCAGCCGCUCGUGCCUGCCGCCCCCAGGCUCCUGAAAAAAGCUGCCUGCUGUCCCUGUCGCCUGCCACUAGUGCCUUGGCCUGCAGGUGCCCGCAGAGCUCCAGCCUGUGAGCUGCCCCUGCGCCUCAGGGUGGGGUGAGGCUCCACGACAACUUCACCAGCCCCAACCCCUCCCUUCAAAUAAAAACACGCGUAAGUCCUUUCUCCA
rnacentral:lncRNA from 12 species